rnacentral:rRNA from 1 species
GACGAACGCUGGCGGCGUGCUUAACACAUGCAAGUCGAACGGUAAGGCCCUUCGGGGUACACGAGUGGCGAACGGGUGAGUAACACGUGAGUAACCUGCCCUUGACUCUGGGAUAACAGUUGGAAACAGCUGCUAAUACCGGAUACGAACUUGGAAGGCAUCUUCCGAGUUGGAAAGCUCCGGCGGUCAAGGAUGGACUCGCGGCCUAUCAGCUUGUUGGUGAGGUAACGGCUCACCAAGGCUUCGACGGGUAGCCGGCCUGAGAGGGCGACCGGGCCACACUGGGACUGAGAUACGGCCCAGACUCCUACGGGAGGCAGCAGUGGGGGAAUAUUGCACAAUGGGCGAAAGGCCUGAUGCAGCAACGCCGCGUGCGGGAUGACGGCCUUCGGGUGGUAAGUUACGUUUUAUUAAUUGUGUAGCGAGUGGCUUCCUUUAUUAUUUAACUAAGUAAUGGGGUAGGAGGAGAAGUAUUAGUAAUAUAGAAUAAAGACAACGGACUAACGUACCGUCGCCGAAGCAGCCGAC